GGUGGGGGGGAGGGAGGGAGGGAGGGCAUAAUAGAAGCAGAGCCACCUGUAGGAUGAGGUGGCCAAGGGCAUUUUCCCAAUCAGCAAAAUGCCUGCUCCUUUUGUGAUGUACAGGGAUAGAAGAUACUAAGCGAUGUUGGCUGACAAUCGCCUCAGGCACACAGCGGAUGCCAGCAGUCAACCAACCGGCUUGCUUUUGAGUGAUUCCUGCAGCUGUGGCUGCUGCUGUAGUUUUAGGUGUCUUGAGAUUUAGAAGCCUGAUUCUUGAUUUGUAUUCUUCAAAACCAUUCCUGGGAUGGGGCCGCGGGACUUCUCUGUCGAGCACUUUGCCUAGAAUUCCCCAAUGAGAGGCUCAAUAGUGGAGUGUGUGACUAGGUUCUACCACUGAGGAGUCGGGGCAUGGCUUGCCCAGGUCUAGAAUCCCCCAGGGAGGGGCUGGGGGCGUGGCUCAGUGGUAGAGCCCCUGCCUGGAAUCCCCCAGGGAGGGGCUGGGGGCGUGGCUCAGUGGUAGAGCCCCUGCCUAGAAUCCCCCAGGGAGGGGCCGGGGGCGUGGCUCAGUGGUGGAGCCCCUGCCUGGAAUCCCCCAGGGAGGGGCUGGGGGCGUGGCUUUGUCUUAAAAGACUUGUCUAGCCUGCAGGAAUUCCUAGGCACAUCUUCCUUCCUAAAAGGAAGAAAAAAAAGAAACCUUGGAGCAGGUGAAAAUCCUAGGGACAUGGCAUAAGUCAUCCUCCAAGCAAAGGAAGACCCAGUGCAUGCCAAGAUAUGGUAGGCAUACUGGAAAGAGGGUGAGAACUGGCCAUUCUCACAGGGGGACAUGGGGUCAGAAGAGGCCAGAGAUCUCGGGACAGCAAUAACACUGACGCGUUCUGCCAAUCCAUCGGGGAGUAGAAACUCCCUGUGUGAAGUAAGGGGUGGGAUCCAAGAGGUCAGGGGGUCAGUAAGUGCAGGCACAAGCAGAGGUCAUAGGUGUGAGAUUAAAUCCAGAUGCAGCAUCACGCGCGCAUGCGCACACACACCUGUUAUCCCAGCACUUGCGAAGCUGAGGCAAGAGAGUCAUAUGUUUGAGUCUAGCCUGGACUACAUGCAGAGACUAUUAAAAACAAAAAGCUGGACCCUCUCCAAACUCUAUAGUACCAGCUUCUGCCCCACAGAAGCUCCGCCUCUGGUCGCGUGCUCAAGUGGAUCGGCAAAGGUGCCCACCGUAAGAGGGAGUGACUCUUCCAGAUGGUGACUGAGAGGUGCCAGCAUCAACACCGCGGGUCCUGUCCAUAGAGAAGCGGUGCCUCAAGUGCAUGGACCACACACCGUCCUGCCCUUCGGUGCCCACAAACCAGACGUCUCCAGAGUCCUCAGAAGGCAUGGAAGCCCUCAGAAACCAUGAUGAUAUGACCCAGGCGGUGCCGAUUAAGCCUUGUUAGCCGGAGACAGCAGCCGAUGGGGGAAGGGUCCCCUCACAAAAGAGAUGCCCAGUAUCUGCAGGAGACAGGGUAAGAAGAGUUGGUGAAGGAACGGCCUGGUGACUUCCUGGGCCUGCGUGGCAGGGAUUCUUAGAGACCCAGGAUAUCAGCAGAUCUCAGGCUGUGACGCCCGAGAUGCAGGAGGUUGCGAGCAAUGUGCUGGCCGACGACAUCACCUGGCUGAUGGUGAGGGUGGGUCUGGAGGAUUCCCUGACACCCUUGCAGGCUGCGAAGGGUGGAGAUCUCGAUGGCACUGUUUGGGCAGGACUGUGGUGAGGGCGUGGACGACGUUGAGUGCGUGCUUGGCAAGGGCAAGACCACAAGGACCAGACACGCGCUCCAGCCCCUUUCCCCACCAUCAAAAGCAAGGUCACAGGUGCGGACACCCAAGAAAGAUGCGGAAUUCCAGCUUGCCUGACCCCGCUGGCCGGUGACCACUUCAUUCAGAAGUUACACAAACAAGCCACUCAGUAAAACAUACAAGGGACCACAGAAGCACAAGGGACCAAUGGUGCCGUGGCCAGGAGCCAGGGCCAUUCCCAAGGCCAGCUGAGAAUCAGCUGUCAGAUCGAGGACCAAUGACCCUUGACAUUUUGGGAAAGUUUUGUUUUGUUUUGUUUUGUUUUAAACAUGGCCAGAGUGGCCAUAUUUAUCUUUGGAUAGUUUAGAGAAAAUAGGAUUUGGGGGAGGUGGGGUAAGAUUCAGUUCUUGCACUGGUGAGUCUGUUAUUCAGUAGUAUCAUUUCCUUAAUCCCUGUGGGCACAAUUCUGAAGGUAUGGAUGGCCAAGGGAAGUGUUGUUUCUUUUUUAAGUGUGUUUAAGGAAAUGGGUCAUGUUGGCGAUCUGAGCUAGAUAGUGUUUGAUUGACGGGUGCCAGGGCCAACGUGCCUGCCUGGCCAUCUCUGUUAGGCAGGGAAGUUGAAGGCAGAAGCGGUCCUCUCAGUGGGGGUUGUAGAGAGGACGUGCAGACCUGGGAAGUAGGGAGAGAAGGCUCCCUGACCGGAGCUGGCGGCAAAGCUUGCCAGAGAGAGCAGCCGGAAGUGGGCGCUCCAGAAGGUACCAGAAUCGACCCAUCCAAUUGACCCGUGCCCUUAACGUAUCAAAGUGAACCAUGGAGAAAAAAAAAAAAAGUUAGAUCUUCAGGGACUUCCAGUCACCUGGGAUUGUUGGAGCAGAGAUGUCAGUGACGUCAGAUGGUGGAGCAGAGACGGUCAGUGACGUCAGACAUUCCUCAAGUGCGGGCCAGGUGAGAUAUCACGGUGACCAAGUAGAAAAAGAGGAUGGGCAUAUAUGGAAGAAGACCAGAAGAAGGCGGAACUUUGGGAAGGCAGCACAAGGUGUCUGCAGAGGAAGUUGGAGCUGGUUAUCUUAGGGACCAGGAGAGAGUGGGGCGGGCGGGGGAGAGAGCCUGAGGGUCAGCCCCGCCCACUCCUCCGUUGCCAUGGGACCAAGUGCCUAUGCUGUGAAGCCUUAGAGUUGCACAUGUUGUACCUCCUGUUUCUAAUAAAGGUCUCUGGAACCAUUUGUCGAUCAA